rnacentral:RNase_P_RNA from 1 species
AGAGUUGAUCGGAUAGUUACUCUUAAUCCGCUGAAUGUGAAAUUGAGAGAGGAAAGUCCGAGCACCACAGGAUAGAAUGCCUCCUAACAGGAGGAGUUGCAAGUUGCAAUAUGGAAAGUGCAACAGAAAAUAUACCGCUUCGUUUUUUCGAAGUAAGGGUGAAAAGGUAGUGUAAGAGACUACCAGAUUUUGUUGUGAAACAAGAUGCUUGUAAACCCCAUUUGGUGCAAGAUCAAGUAUACCUCAAGAUAUUAUCCGUAUCAUUUGAGAGGAGGGUUGAUUGCGUAAUCUACUUAGAAAUAUUUAGAUAAGAUGAAUGACUAUCAAUUACAGAACUCGGCUUAUAGAUUGACUCUUUUU